rnacentral:lncRNA from 1 species
AAACAACCUGCAAGUAUUGCCAGCUUAUCUAAGUAUAUGUUUCCUUAGAAAUUCUAAGGACCAAAUGUUGAACCAAAGCAGGCAACAUCCAGAAUUCUCCCUCACAGGGAGACUGUCUCAAGACAAUAGUUAAUCCACAUUCCGACUCUUUCCUCAAUGACACUGGUCAGACUAACAGAUGACCCCUUAGCUAAGUUUUACAGCAAGUCACAUAGACCCCGCACCUCCAUGUUCCUUCUGCAUACCCUGCACAAGAAAGUUUCUCUUCUUAAAACCCUGCUUUCUUCCCGGAAAACUGAAGCGGCUCCUUUAGAUAUGAACCUGGUUCUUCUCCAUUGCUAAGCUGUGAAAUAAAGUCACUUUCUUUUUACCACCCUCUUGCUUGUUAUUUGAUACGGUAAGUGACAAGUGGCCAAACCUGUGUUUGGUAACAAAUUUGGUGGCCUGUAUGGGGAGCAUUAUGUGCUCUGGGCAACCCAAGCCUGUGAGCCUGGUUUUGCUACCAAGGUGGAGGGUUGCCUGUGAGCACCAGCAGCUGAAGGCCAGCAGACCCCAUGGCAGGAAUGUUAGGGAACUUCCAAGCAGCUGCUGAAAAUCUUUCAUUUCCUAGACCCUCCCUUUCACUUCCUUGCACAACUUCUGCAGCCAUCAACACUUUGCUGGUACAAAGAAUGUGACCUCUGAAGAAGCUGGCAGCCCUUGCAACCAAGUGAGCUAGUAGAGUGCACCCGGCUUUCCUGUGUCUUCUGGGGUGUUGCUGGGGCUCUGCUGUUUCGUCUGGUCCACUAAUGGGACUAUCAUCUGAGUGUUUUACGGAUUUGUAUUUGUGGCACUACUGGGCAUGGCUCCAUUUGGUCUCAGACACCCAUGGAGCUGUUUUGAACAGAGGAGAGAAAUUCAGGAUUCUACUCAGCCCCUUAACUGGUGUUUGUUUGGAAGCUCACCAUUUGUUUAUCCAACUCUCCUAAAUCAAUCUUCAAUUCAUCUUGCUCAUGGUGUUCCCCAUGUUAUCAUCAUUUGUGCUAAUCUGAGGAUUUGGUGAUGCUGCAUUUCCUGUGAUAUUCCUACGUUGCUCCUGCGAGUUUAUAUUUUCAACCUUCUGAAACCUCCCGUGCAAGAUUUGAUGCUGAUGUUGAUGACAUCACCCAAAAACAUUGACAGGAGGUUUGCAGACCAAGUUUAUACAGCAACUCUUGGACCACUGACUCUAAAACGCACAGAAAAAUGCAAUUGAUCCAGAACAGCCCAAGGAAUGUUAAAUAUUUUUUACAGAAACACAAAUGACAUUUAUAGAAGUAUGUAUGUGCUGUGCAUAGUGAUGUUUUUUCCAAAAGGUACAACAUGAGAAGGGGAAUAAUAUUAAUUUUAUAGUGGAGAAAACUGAGCUAAACUGCCUCAUCCGUGUGAUCAAAUAACAUUAACCAUGAUAAAGCAGCUGGGCACAGUGGCUCACACCUGUAAUUCCAGCACUUGGGAGCCUGAGGUGAGAG